CUCUAACCCCUAACCACCAAAUUUCAUUAGGGCCACAACAAUUUUUCAAUUGAUGAGACUGAGACCAUGCCUAUUAGUGUUACCUUUCCAUAAAAAUUGCUGCAUCAUAGAGUUGAUUUUAUCACGAACAUAAUUGAAAAAAUACAUCACCUGCAUAUGAUGAACACAAAUAGAGGUCAUCGCUGAUUUUAUAAAACAAAGUCUUUUAGCCUUUUUGAGAAGCUUUCCUUUCCAUCUUGCUAACUUAUAUUGAAUCUUAUCCAAAAUAUUAUGAAAAGAUGCUUUAUUGACCCUCUGGUGAUUUAGAUUAACACCUAAAUACUUUCCUAAAUUUUGAGUGAAUCUAAUAGAGGAGAGACCAGUGAACAUCUCCAGACGCCACGUGAAAACACUCUUAGAGUAAAGGGCCUUUGACUUUUUAACAUUUACCUUUAAACCAAACACCUUGCUGAACUUAUUAAGCACAUCUAUAAUCAUCAGGACUUGAGUCUUAGAUGCCUUGCAAAAAAUGAGAAGAUCAUCAACGAACAUUAGACAAGAUA